AAGACCUUGCGCUUUUGGAGCGGCCGAUGCCUGAUUAGCUUGUUGGUAAGGUAAAGGCUUACCAAGGCUUCGAUCAGUAGCUGGUCUGAGAGGACGGCCAGCCACACUGGGACUGAGACACGGCCCAGACUCCUACGGGAGGCAGCAGUGGGGAAUUUUGGACAAUGGGGGCAACCCUGAUCCAGCCAUGCCGCGUGAGUGAAGAAGGCCUUCGGGUUGUAAAGCUCUUUCAGCCGGAACGAAACGGUUACGGUUAAUACCCGUGACUACUGACGGUACCGGAAGAAGAAGCACCGGCUAACUACGUGCCAGCAGCCGCGGUAAUACGUAGGGUGCAAGCGUUAAUCGGAAUUACUGGGCGUAAAGCGUGCGCAGGUGGUUUUGUAAGUCAGAUGUGAAAUCCCCGGGCUUAACCUGGGAACU
rnacentral:rRNA from 1 species